rnacentral:rRNA from 1 species
AAUAGAUACCCUGGUAGUCCACGCCGUAAACGAUGGAUACUAGCUGUUGGAGGUAUCGACCCCUUCAGUAGCGAAGCUAACGCGUUAAGUAUCCCGCCUGUGGAGUACGGUCGCAAGACUAAAACAUAAAGGAAUUGACGGGGACCCGCACAAGCGGUGGAGCGUGUUCUUUAAUUCGAUGAUAAACGAAGAACCUACCAGGACUUGACAUCCCGAGAAUUUUGCCGAAAGGCGAGAGUGCUUUAUUGAACUCGGUGACAGGUGCUGCAUGGCCGUCGUCAGCUCGUGUCGUGAGAUGUUUGGUUAAGUCCAUUAACGAGCGCAACCCUUAUGAAUAGUUGUUAUUUUUUCUAUUCAGACUGCCCCGGUAAACGGGGGAGGAAGGGAGGGGGAUGAUGUCAGGUCAGUAUUGCCCUUACGUCCUGGGCUAGAAACGCGCUACAAUGGCCGGUACAAUGCGCAGCCAACCCGCAAGGGGGAGCAAAUCGCAUCAAAGCCGGUCCCAGUUCGGAUAAGGGGCUGAAACUCGCCUCUUUGAAGUCGGAAUCGCUAGUAAUCG